rnacentral:rRNA from 1 species
UUACCUCAGUAACGGCGAGUGAAGCGGUAACAGCUCAAAUUUGAAAUCUGGCUCUUUUAGGGUCCGAGUUGUAAUUUGUAGAAGAUGCUUUGGGCGUGGCUCCGGUCUAAGUUCCUUGGAACAGGACGUCAUAGAGGGUGAGAAUCCCGUAUGUGACUGGUAGCUUUCGCCCGUGUAAAGCUCUUUCGACGAGUCGAGUUGUUUGGGAAUGCAGCUCAAAAUGGGUGGUAAAUUUCAUCUAAAGCUAAAUAUUGGCCAGAGACCGAUAGCGCACAAGUAGAGUGAUCGAAAGAUGAAAAGCACUUUGGAAAGAGAGUUAAACAGUACGUGAAAUUGUUGAAAGGGAAGCGCUUGCAACCAGACUCGCAGGCCGUCGAUCAUCCGGGGUUCUCCCCGGUGCACUCGGCGGUUUUCGGGCCAGCAUCGGUUUGGGUGGUGGGAUAAAGGCCUUGGGAAUGUAGCUUCUUUCGGGGAGUGUUAUAGCCCUCGGUGCAAUGCCGCCUACCCGGACCGAGGACCGCGCUUCGGCUAGGAUGCUGGCGUAAUGGUUGUAAGCGACCCGUCUUGAAACACGGACCAAGGAGUCUAACAUCUAUGCGAGUAUUUGGGUGUUAAACCCAUAUGCGUAAUGAAAGUGAACGGAGGUGAGAACCCUUAAGGGUGCAUCAUCGACCGAUCCUGAUGUCUUCGGAUGGAUUUGAGUAAGAGCAUAGCUGUUGGGACCCGAAAGAUGGUGAACUAUGCCUAAAUAGGGUGAAGCCAGAGGAAACUCUGGUGGAGGCUCGCAGCGGUUCUGACGUGCAAAUCGAUCGUCAAAUUUGGGUAUAGGGGCGAAAGACUAAUCGAACUCAUCUAGUAGCUGGAUCCUGCGAG